CAGGGAAUUUUGCGCAAUGGGCGAAAGCCUGACGCAGCAACGCCGCGUGAGGGAAGAAGGCCUUCGGGUUGUAAACCUCUUUUGUCAGGGAAGAAUAAUGACGGUACCUGGUGAAUAAGUCACGGCUAACUACGUGCCAGCAGCCGCGGUAAUACGUAGGCGGCCAGCGUUAUCCGGAUUUAUUGGGCGUAAAGAGCGCGUAGGUGGUUCGGUAAGUCAGAUGUGAAAUCUCCCGGCUUAACCUGGAGAGGUCAUCUGAUACUGUCGGACUAGAGGACGGUAGAGGGAGGUGGAAUUCCCGGUGUAGUGGUGAAAUGCGUAGAUAUCGGGAGGAACACCAGUGGCGAAAGCGGCCUCCUGGGCCGUUCCUGACACUGAGGCGCGAAAGCGUGGGGAGCGAACAG
rnacentral:rRNA from 1 species